rnacentral:snRNA from 1 species
AUACUUACCUGGCAGGGGAGAUACCAUAAUCACAAGGGGGUUUUCCCAGGGUGAGGCUCACUCAUAGCGCUCCGAGUGUGCUGACCCCUGGGAUUUCCCACCCCCUCCCAAAAAUAA